GCGACUGAGAGGUGCGAAGUUGUAUGGU
rnacentral:sRNA from 1 species